ACCGGGCACCGGGGUGCGCGCCUGUAAUCCCAGCAGCUGGGGAGGCUGAGGCAGGAGGAUCGCAAGUUGGAGGCCAGCCUCAGCAACUUCGCGAGGCCCAAAGCAACUCUGUGAGAUCCUGUCUCAA
rnacentral:sRNA from 1 species